AAAAACAUUUUAGAGUAACUUACGCCGUACUUUAAUUUUUAUUUUUAAUUUUAAUAGAAUAAUUUUUCAAAAUGAUUAUGCAGUCGUUAUCUCAUUAAUGGGAAAUUGACUGGACCUGAUAUGUCAUGUUAUAAAUCUUAUAAAAUGAAAAAUUCUUCGUUUAGCCCCUUUAGAAAAUUUCCUUUUUCUCUUCCCCUUCCUCCUGUCUUCUUCUUCUUCUCUUAUUUUCCUUUCACAAACAGGAAACUCAGAGAAGAGUCCCAACAGAAGGCCAUUGAGUGUUGAAACUCAGAGAGGGAAUGGAAACGGUAAUGUAGAGCAGAGAAGAGUCUUUCCAGUUCAGUCGCCCCAAGUUAAUGUGAGAAGAACCGCAUUAGAACAGACGACGAAUAGAUUACCCGGAAACAGGAAACCAACGGCUGAGCUUUAUGAUAAAGAAGAGAAGGUAUUUAUUCCAGCGGAGGAUCAAACAUGUACUGUUUCAGAGAGUAGCAUUAGCACUUCUUCUCAAACUGAUACGGAGAGGUUGAAGGUGGAGGACCCUUUUGGAAAGAUGUGAUAAGCUGCUUCACAGCAUUGCGGAGAGCCCGGUCCUCGUACUCGAUUCGUCGUUCUACAAUGAGGAAUCAUCUCCUUCCCCUGUUACGAGCAUCGAUUUCAAAGGAACAAUGACCUCCGAUGGAAUUUAUAAAAAUGUUUAUCUCGCCCAUAUCAAGCCGUAAAAUGAAAGGGGAGAAAAAAGCAUAUAAACAAGAUAGGAUUGCAUAUAAGAUAUAAUUGGAUUGUGUUUUUGUAGGUGAAAAUAAUGGGGUUACAAGCAUGUGAUUCUGAUUCAAGAUGAAAACGCCCGUGACAGAAAAGUGUUCAUUCAAAUAUAUAAAGACCAGGAUCCACCAUUGAUAUCA